rnacentral:ncRNA from 1 species
UAAGGGGUGCCGUUGGCGGUUGAUAGUUGACAGUUGAUAGUUGACAGUUGGCCUGCGGCUGAGAUGAUACCCUCUGACCUGAUCAGGGUAAUGCCUGCGUAGGGAAAAGACUUU